UUUCUUGAGCACGGACCGGCGGCGAAUUCUUUCAAUUUAUCCCCCAGAAAAUUGCCGACCGCCAAGCUUAGGUUUCUUUUUUCCCUCCAAAUCGCUUCCUCUCUUCUCUCUACUCGGAGUCCUCUGCUCCCCUUCUCAUGUCUCUUUGAAGGCCAUCCCUCCACCCGACGCCCUCGGUCCGGCCGCCAUCUAUGGCGAGCGAAGGAACACUUUGCUGCUACUCGGUACGCCUCUUUCUGUCUCUCCCCCCUCCCUCUCUCUGGCGGCACUGGAGAUCGCAUCGGCUGUAUUGCCAUAUCGGUAAUAUGUGGUUACUCCCCUUUCAGAUGUUUUAAGGAUGUAUAUAAGUUUUGUUCUAUUAAUCUAAGCUGAAACUUUCCUGAAUGAUCUUUCCCAUGCCUCCUUUCAAUAUCUGAUCUUGGUCUUGGGUGCUCAUUUUUGUUUAUAUGGUUUUUUAUUUGCGCUGAUGAGACUAUAUGAAGAUACUUCUUGGGAUGACACGAAGUUGGUGGUAAUUCUGUUCUAGCGAUGCCAUAGAAAAAUAUGUAGAGACACAAUGCAGUGCAAAAUGUUGAAAUAAUAGGAAAGAGAAAAACAGAAAACAACAAUGCAAGCGCUGUUUUAGAGUGGUGCCUCAGAAACUGAAGAUUGAUUCCAUAGCAGUAACUUUGUGAAAUUGACUGUAGAUAUUUGCAUAUUGUUAUAAAUUAUUUGUAGAAUUGGAGAGCUUUAGAUGUUCUGGAAACUAGCAUGCCAUCAAUAUAAAUGAAGAAAAUCAAAAAAAUAUUCAAUUUAGUGUCCUUAUUAUGUACUUCUCAGUAUCAAACAAAGCCAAAGCCGUGCAAUAUUAUAAAAUGCUGUUUGUUUGUCUCCAUGAUAAGACAAACUUCAAUUCAAAUUGCUUUGAGUUGUAUGAAUUUUUUUUCAUGUUUUUGUGGUCAGAAUAAAUAACACGUUGUAGAAUACGAACCAACUUAUCUUUGAGAGAACAUCCAAUAUUAGUUGAAAGGUGGACAUUACUACCUUACCUGCACACAUGUUUUGGAGUUUUCUGGAUGAUGUCUUGUUUUCUCAAAAUAUCAUUUCUUGGCUUAUUCAAUGUGCCUAAGCAUCAAUGAAACAUAGUGAUGAAGCCUUUCAGAUUCACUUGAUAUACAGAGCCUGUUAAUCUUGGAUUUUGAAUCCAAGAAAAUCAUAUUGAUCAUGUGGACAUAGUUCAUGUCUUAUGACAGGUGUAAAAAAUUUGGUAGAUUAUUCACUUGAAUCCAGUAAAUAUUUAUAAUUAUAAUACUGGGGCAGUCACAUUGGUUGUUGUAGUUCAUAUCUUGUUAGAGAAGGAAACACUUUAGUACUUUGAUCAAUUGGAUCCAGUAAGCUCAUGUCCUACUUUGCCAUUUAGCUUUUUCUGCAAACAUCUUGAUAAUUGCCUAAUUAAUUAUAAGCGAGGUGUUACUGAUGUCAUUUAACUAUUCAGUAACUUUACUAUGAUAACCUUGAUCAGAUGAAAGAUGGAAAUCUGACCAAAAUUUGUAUUAUUGAUGUUUUGGGUGCAUGAGAGUGUAGAGUCCAAGCUGAUCCCUCAAAAAAAUUGGCAUGUAUCUUCAUGGUGUUUAGGCCAUGUAAAAGGAUGAGUCUCUAUAGCCCCAUUUGUGUUGGGGGUUAGGAUCCUGUUCGCUGAUGCAUUCUAUUGGAAACCAUGAAAUCUCUUGAGAAUAGCUCAUGAUCUUCGUUAUAGAUCUUGCAAUGUGCUGAACAACUAAAGAACAUGCUCAUAGUUCCUAACAUAGUUUGGUAGCUUUCUAUGUCCCAUCCACUGUUGACUGCUUUAAAGGAUUCCUGCAUGCUACUAACAAACAUUUUUUUCCUAAAUUUUCACUACUUUGACAUCAAUGAUCUUCAUAUCAACUUUUAUGCUGCCCCUUUUCUUUUUUGAUCUUUAUUUUUUAAUUAUUCUCUUUUUGAAUGAAUUCUGCAAGAAAAUGAAGGGGUCGAGGUCCUACACGGUGCCUUGAUGUAUGGAACAGUCCUGAGGGCCAGCGCUUACGUGUUGCUUUCAACAACCUGGGCUAGCCAAUCAGCCUGAAGGCAGCAAAGCUAAGCAACUUCUUGGGUACUAUAGCAUGAGAUGGGCACUUGGCGCCCCUUAAUUUUAUUGAUUGGAGGGCUAUGCCAGAUGGAUAUAAGGAGAAGAUGUGGCAGCUUGUUGAGUCAAAGUUUGACAUUGACCCAAUUGGUAAGGAUUGGGUCUUGAAGUCCCUGGGUAGAAAAUGGAGGAACUGGAAAGCUGAGUUAAAGGCUGCAAGUUUGACAUUGACCCAAUUGGUAAGGAUUGGGUCUUGAAGUCCUUGGGUACAAAAUGGAGGAACUGGAAAGCUGAGUUAAAGGCUGCCCAUUAUGAUAGUCACAAGACUGAUGAGGAGCGGCUGGCGGAUUGUGAUGAGAGGGUUGUACGAGAUCAGUGGACAUUUCUCAUGGCAUAUUGGAGCUCUAAAAAGGGGAAGGUUUGAGUUGAAGUUUACUGAAUGUUUGUGUAGGUUACAUGAGGCACGUAGUGAAACCAACAGGGCUAAUCACGUGCAUCUGAGGUUUGGCCAUACUUCUGGUACAAAAGAGCUUUGCAUGUAUACGUGAAGAGGAGUGGGCGAAGAGGCCUGAUAGGCAGGAGCUAUCUCAGGUGGAGCUUUUUGUAUUGACCCAUACACACAAAAACAGGCAGCCCGUGGAUGGGGCUUCAUUGGAGGCAAUUUCACAACUUCAUGAACAAGCAAGACAGCUAGCUGAGAGCUCACAUGGUAGCAUUGAUUGGGAUUAUGGGAGAAGAAAAGCCUGGCCAUCUGCAUACAUAUGGUUUGGGUCCUUCUCCCUCUGAUAUCUAGGGCCCACGACCAACCCCCAGUGAGGCCAUGAAAAUGGUUUCAGAGGCUAAGACGGCUGCUGAUGAGGAGGUGCGCAUGAUGAAGGAGAAAAUGAAUGCUAUGGAGCAAAAAUAUACUGAGAUGCAAACUCAGAUGACUAUGAUGAUAACAAGAAUGGGAGCUAUGCAUAGGAGGUUCCUUGAUGAGCAGUUAUCUGGUAAAACAGGUGCACCAUCAGAGCCUUUGGGCUCCAGACAGGCUCCCGACACCUUCAGUGCUCAUGAAGCUUUGCAGCAGUCGCAGGUACACUCCUUAUUAGCACGUCAUGCAGAUCCAUCUGAUGAGGGACGGCCAACCAAGAGGGGAAAGACGCAUCAGGGUCGGGUCCUUAGGGCAAGGUAAUUUGAUGAAUGCCUGCAAUAUUGAGGCAGAAUGAAUUCUUUUGGGCAAGAGAGGGUAGAACUGACACUCAAAUUUCAGUCUAGUGCCAGUGAACUUCAGCUCAAAAAUGAUUGGAGAUGUUGCUGGAGCAAAUUGUUGCUUGACCUUCUAGUUGCUCAUUAAUGUUGCAUUUGUGAUAUGUUUACUUAGAUUUGCACAAUAUCAAUAUCUGAUUUGAAUGUAAAUGCUUCUCCCAAUCGGACUUUGUACCAACUGCUAGCAGCCUAUUUAGAUGACUACAUAUACAUCCUAGUGAUGUCAUUUGCGAUAAGGCAUGACCCAGCUAUUCUUUUUUUACGUUUGUGCCUGUGUGGAUAAAGUUGCAAGUCUUUGUUGUAAUCACCAGUAAUAUAUCAAGUGAUAUUCAUCA